GGAGAGGUGGCCGAGUGGUUGAAGGCGCCCGCUUGGAAAGCGUGUAUAGUGGCAACACUAUCGAGGGUUCGAAUCCCUCUCUCUCCGCCA
rnacentral:tRNA from 2 species